rnacentral:rRNA from 1 species
AAUGGGCGCAAGCCUGAUCCAGCAAUGCCGCGUGGGUGAAGAAGGCCUGCGGGUUGUAAAGCCCUUUAAGCGGGGAGGAAAGCCGGGGGGUGAAUAGCGCCUCGGGGUGACGUUACCCGCAGAAUAAGCACCGGCUAACUCCGUGCCAGCAGCCGCGGUAAUACGGGGGGUGCGAGCGUUAAUCGGAAUUACUGGGCGUAAAGCGUGCGUAGGCGGCGCAAUCAGUCAGCCGUGAAAGCCCCGGGCUUAACCUGGGAAUGGCGGUUGAGACGGUUGGGCUAGAGUGGGCUAGAGGAUCGUGGAACUCCCGGUGUAGCGGUGAAAUGCGUAGAGAUCGGGAAGAACACCGAUGGCGAAGGCAGCGGUCUGGGGCCACACUGACGCUGAGGCACGACGGCGUGGGGAGCAAA